rnacentral:rRNA from 1 species
UACGAAGGGGGCUAGCGUUGUUCGGAAUUACUGGGCGUAAAGCGCACGUAGGCGGAUACUUAAGUCAGGGGUGAAAUCCCGGGGCUCAACCCCGGAACUGCCUUUGAUACUGGGUAUCUCGAGUCCGGAAGAGGUGAGUGGAAUUCCGAGUGUAGAGGUGAAAUUCGUAGAUAUUCGGAGGAACACCAGUGGCGAAGGCGGCUCACUGGGACGUGACUGACGCUGAGACGCGAAAGCGUGGGGAGCAAACAGG